rnacentral:rRNA from 1 species
AUUGAACGCUGGCGGCAGGCUUAACACAUGCAAGUCGAGCGGAGGUGAGGUGCUUGCACCUUAUCUUAGCGGCGGACGGGUGAGUAAUGCUUAGGAAUCUGCCUAUUAGUGGGGGACAACAUUCCGAAAGGAAUGCUAAUACCGCAUACGUCCUACGGGAGAAAGCAGGGGAUCUUCGGACCGUGCGCUAAUAGAUGAGCCUAAGUCGGAUUAGCUAGUUGGUGGGGUAAAGGCCUACCAAGGCGACGAUCUGUAGCGGGUCUGAGAGGAUGAUCCGCCACACUGGGACUGAGACACGGCCCAGACUCCUACGGGAGGCAGCAGUGGGGAAUAUUGGACAAUGGGGGGAACCCUGAUCCAGCCAUGCCGCGUGUGUGAAGAAGGCCUUAUGGUUGUAAAGCACUCUAAGCGAGGAGGAGGCUACUUUAGUUAAUACCUAGAGAUAGUGGACGUUACUCGCAGAAUAAGCACCGGCUAACUCUGUGCCAGCCGCCGCUGUAAUAC